UAAGUGAUAUCUUCAAUCAUGUUUUCACUGUUUUUUUCAGACUCUCUGGAAUGUUGCCUUACUAUCAUUUCACAUCUGACCUCCAAAAUAUUAGUACCAUGAAAAAGUUGAAGCCAACAGAAUGAGGAAAUAGCACUCAAACCUUUCAACUCUGCCUUUACAAAGACAAUGUAUCUGAAAAGAAAGACCUAUCAUCAAGGAAACCUGAAAUCACCAAUCUUUCCAUUUCCCAGAAUGUACUUGCAAGCCAGUACCCACUUUUCAGAAAUAAAUAAAAGAUAUGUGGAUUGAAUGAAUGAUGCCCUUUUGAUCUGUAUAUUUAUAAGAAUCCAAGUAUUUGUCACCCACAACAUGAGGUAGGUAUUUUAUCAUGAAUACUUGCUGCAAUAAUAUUAGUUACCC
rnacentral:lncRNA from 12 species